UACGUAGGGGGCAAGCGUUGUCCGGAUUUAUUGGGCGUAAAGAGCGUGUAGGCGGCUAGGUAGGUCCGAUGUGAAAACUGGAGGCUCAACCUCCAGCUGUCAUUGGAAACCCUCUGGCUAGAGUCCGGAAGAGGAGAGUGGAAUUCCUGGUGUAGCGGUGAAAUGCGCAGAUAUCAGGAAGAACACCUAUGGCGAAGGCAGCUCUCUGGGACGGUACUGACGCUGAGACGCGAAAGCGUGGGGAGCGAACAGG
rnacentral:rRNA from 2 species